rnacentral:rRNA from 1 species
AACGAACGCUGGCGGUGCGUUUUAAGCAUGCAAGUCGAACGGCAGGAAGGUGCUUGCACUUUCCUAGAGUGGCGGACUGGUGAGUAACGCGUAGGUGAUCUACCUUUAAGACUGGGACAGCCUUUAGAAAUAAGGGGUAAUACCGGAUGUGCUUAUUAUGUUUUGACGUAGUAAGGGAAGGAGCGUUUGCUCCGCUUAGAGAUGAGCCUGCGUCCCAUUAGCUAGUUGGUAAGGUAACGGCCUACCAAGGCGAUGAUGGGUAUCCGACCUGAGAGGGUGAUCGGACACAUUGGGACUGAGAUACGGCCCAAACUCUACGGGAGGCAGCAGCUGAGAAUCUUCCGCAAUGGACGAAAGUCUGACGGAGCGACACCGCGUGAAUGAUGAAGGCCGAAAGGUUGUAAAGUUCUUUUGCAGACAAAGAAUAAGGAUAGUAAGGUAAAUGUCUAUUUGAUGACGGUAGUUAUGCGAAUAAGCCCCGGCUAAUUACGUGCCAGCAGCCGCGGUAAUACGUAAGGGGCGAGCGUUGUUCGGAAUUAUUGGGCGUAAAGGGCAUGUAGGCGGUUGGGUAAGCCUGAUGUGAAAUCUACGAGCUUAACUCGUAAACUGCAUUGGGUACUGCUCAUCUUGAAUCAUAGAGGGGGAACUGGAAUUCCAAGUGUAGGGGUGGAAUCUGUAGAUAUUUGGAAGAACACCGGUGGCGAAGGCGGGUUCCUAGCUAAUGAUUGACGCUGAUGUGCGAAGGUGCGGGGAGCAAACAGGAUUAGAUACCCUGGUAGUCCGCACAGUAAACGAUGUACACUAGGUGUUGGGGUAAAACUCAGUGCCGGCGCAAACGCAAUAAGUGUACCGCCUGGGGAGUAUGCCCGCAAGGGUGAAACUCAAAGGAAUUGACGGGGGCCCACACAAGCGGUGGAGCAUGUGG